UACAGAGGUCUCAAGCGUUGUUCGGAUUCAUUGGGCGUAAAGGGUGCGUAGGCGGCGCGGUAAGUCGGGUGUGAAAUCUCGGAGCUUAACUCCGAAACUGCAUUCGAUACUGCCGUGCUUGAGGACUGGAGAGGAGACUGGAAUUUACGGUGUAGCGGUGAAAUGCGUAGAUAUCUGGAGGAACACCGGUGGCGAAGGCGGCAUCCUGGACCGGUAUUGACGCUGAGGCGCGAAAGCCAGGG
rnacentral:rRNA from 1 species